AGGUGUGUGCAAUUCAACAGAUUCUCCAUUCAACCCAGUACCUGUCGAAAUGUAUGAGAGAUCUGACAUGUAACGCAACAAGCCACGCCUAUGUUCAGAGCGGCCAUUGCUUCCGGUGUUGUACUGCAGACUUCUGCAAUGAUUCCUGCACUCAACCAUCAGGAUGACGUCACUCCCAUCAAUGACGUCAUUUCCGUUUGCACAUUUUGCGUUGUGCUAUAAUUAAAUUAUGAAAAAAAAAUGAGAAAAGGUUUUCUUAAA